GAGCGGGAAGAGCCAGGCGCGGGCCAGCGCGGGACCGGUCGGACCGGCGCCGCGGGGCUUGGCUUGGCGUCCUCCACGCCGACCGGGCGGGAUGGGGGACACCCCGCUCCGCUUGGGGGCGAGGAGCCGGCGUCAGGGUCGCAGCCGGACGGUGGCUGCUGACCUUUGCCCGAAGCUGCACGGAUUACCAACAGGGGUCGGGCGGGGAGAACACAGAGGGCGGGGCGGGGUCCGAAACAACAGCGGAAUGCUGACUCUGGAUACGCGUGCUGGCGGGGACCCCUGGAUGGUCACGCGGCUCUAAGCUCGGGGACUGGGAAGCGUGAGAAGACAGAGGCUGGGCUGCCAAUGACCUGGGGCCCAGGCGUGCCCACUCCUUAUCGCAGUCCAUAGGGCUGGCUCUGUACUGGGAGCGCUUCGGGAGCUGGGCCUGUGGCUCAGGAGAUCCAGGCCCUGGGUGCCCAUUGGCCCGCUAGUUUCCGAGGCACGGAACUUCUGGCGUCCAGAUCCCGCCGCCCACCGUCCUAAAGCCUCCUGCUAGCCGCUUUGAAGAUGAAACACCUGAGCGCCGACUACUAGCCUCUAGCAAUUUGUCUCUCUCCCUUUUGGCUGCCCAAGCUUCUCCCUACCCCAUCCUAACCCGGCUGCAGAUGAAAGUGGGCUCCUGGCACCCGGGGGUGGGCUUUCAGGAGCCCAGAGAUGGUGGAGUCGUUUGCACAAAGCCCCAGAACAUCUCCUAAGCAGGACUGGACUUCUGCUACUUGCCCCAGCCGCCACCCUCAGCUCUCUUGAUGUCCAAGCCCCUGAAUGGGCCCUGUUCUCAUCUGCCUGCCCAAGUCUCCCCUAUGACAGGUGAUAUUUGUGACCUGUCUGGUGUAAGGAGACAGGAGUUCCUUCACCUUUUCUCUCUUUCGCAUUUCUGUUCCUCCCUGUGCGGCAGAGUUCUGAGGAAACCCUAGACAUUAGACUGGAAAUGGGAAAAGGUAAUCUUUGAGUGACCCUGUGCCUUGAUUUUCUUUUCUGUAAAAAUGAGACCUGCAACAACCCCAUCCCCAUAGCACUCAUUGGUUGCUGUGGAAACAGGGAUGCUUCACAAAAGGAGUCCAUGGACCAAAAAACAUAGUAGGGGCUGGAGAAUGGAGGGUUGCUGCCAAUGUUCACAGUUUUCUUUGUAGGGACGAAAACUGCACUGGCUGAUUUUAUGUCAACUUGACACAAGCUUGAGUUACCUUAAAGGAGGGAAGGAACCUCAAUUGAGAAAUGCCUCCAUAAGAUCUGGCUGUAAGGUGGUUUUGUAAGUUUUCUUAAUAAUUAGUGGUGGAGGGCCCAGCCCCUGUGGGUAGUAUCAGCUGGGCUGGUGGUCCUAGUGAAACAAGCCGUGAGGAGCAAGCCGGUGAGCAGCACCCUUCCAUGACCUCUGGAUCAGCUCCUGCCUCCAGGCCCCUGCCCUGCCUUCUUUCAGUGACUGUGGUGUGGACAUGUAAGUCAAAUAAACACAUUUUCCCCAA